rnacentral:lncRNA from 1 species
GAGGCAGCAGGCAGCCAGGAGAGCUUGGGAGAAAAACUGAAUGAAACUGACCUAGCGGAAAUAUUCUUCCAAAGAAUAUUCUUUCAAAUUUUUAUCCACGUUUUAAAAUUUAAUUUAAUGAUAUUUAAUUGUUAUUUAACCAGUGGCUUGUUAUCUCAUGACGCGAUGCGGUCUUCAUCCUUCAGCUUCCCUUCUGUUUCCAAAACGAAUUCUGAAAGUCUGUGGAAGCCUAAUCUGUCAGCACUCACUAAUCCCCAGGAUCAGCUCUCCGCAAAGAAGAGACCUUGAGUGAUCUUCAGAGAGAUUAGGCAAUGUGAGGAGUCAGACCCCAGAUACUCCCCAUACACGGUGGUGCGGAUAGCAGAGGCCGAAAUGCGGGCCUAUCAUCGAUUCUUGGGGAGCUGCACCAGCCUGGAGUACAGGGCAAAUGAAGCACUUCCAAUAAACAGCACCUCCCUGCUCUCCAAAGCUGGGCAUAUUCCUGAUGUCUGCUGUGCUGCAGUCUGCAAACCAUCAUAGAAUUUCGACAGCUGCCUGGUCUUUCCCUGCCAUCAACUAAGAGAGCCACAUGGGGUCUCCUCCUGGUCCUGGUGGGCAUAAAGAGAAUAAAUGUUCAGGGCUCGAAUGUGCUCUGCCAGGGCUGAGCUCUGGGGCCACGUGGGGCCACGUGCUGAGGUUCCUGUGGAGUGCUCAUGCUCCAAAGCCAUCGGGAACUUCAUGUGAGGGUGGGAGUG